AUAUUUACUUAAAUCAUCUUCAAUUAAGUGGUGUUCUACAGAAGUAAUUUACUUAAAAAUAGUUUACUGCUGUUGUGAUUUCUAAGGGCACAUAGAAAUUAUUACUUCUGGAAAGUUUGGGUUUAUUUUGAGAACAAUAUGAAGACAUACCAUUAAAAACAUUGUAGGGAAGCAUAGACUGAAUUUUCAAAAGCAUAACAAAGUGUGUAGGCUAGGUAAGAAAUGGGAAGCACGAAUCACAAUUACAAAACAAUAGACUAAGUUGAUAGAAGUCUUAGGGGCUGAUGGAAUGUGAGGUAGAAAGGGAAGUUUUUGGUUUUCUUUGAUUUUGUGCCAAGGAAAAAAUUCAGAAGGAAUUUUUGUUUUCAUGUAAAAAUCCCAAGAGAGAAUAAAACCAAAGGUACCUAAUAAUGCAUUCAAUUGGGUUAGCGGCUAGGAAACGAAAUCAGGAAGUUACUUGAAGCUGCAUAGCACAUUCAGACUCAGAGCAUAUGCUCCAAAGGAAAGCUGCUGCUUGCACAGGCAGGGUCUGCCCGGGAUACAUCACUCUAUGCCCCAGUUAGUAAAAUGGAAAUAACAAUGUUAAUUGAUCAUUGGGUUCUUUGAGGAUUAACUAAGCUAACACUAUUAAAUACUUAGAACAGUACGUGGCAGAUUGAAAACUCUCCUCAAACCUUAACUUUUCAAUCCAAAGCACAUUGCUUUCUUGACUAAUCUGCUGCCAAGCAGAGAAAUCAUGGGGAGUAGUAGGGGUGUUAGUGAGUGCAAAGUCUACACACACAAAGUUCUAGGGAUAUAGAGCUUAAAUUAAAGAAACCAUAAAAAAUGGCUGUGCCAAGGGUGGUAGAUGGGCAUGUGGCAUUUGUAGAACAUAUUGGCCUACAUAUCUUCAGGAAUACUGUUGGUAAAAGCUUGUUACUUCAAAGCAAAGUUUUAACCAUUGCAAAUAGGUAUUGAGAGAACCCCAAAUGAAGAAAUAAGUACUCUGAUCCAAAUUAGCAACAAGCAGGCAGAAAUGAUUUGACAGACAUGAGUACAUAAUAAAAUAUCAGGAGAACUUUGAGAGUGAAAGGACAAGAGCAAAAAAUAGAACAGAUAGACACCUGCAUAUACACAGGUAUAAAUCACACUUGUGAUAUGUGUGUGUACAUAUGCAUACACAUAGCAUAUACUACAACAUAUUUCCAUACAGAUAACUGAUAACCUGUUACUGUAUUCAGUUAAUCACAUAGGUGGCUCUUAACCCAUAGAAGUGAUAUGAUAUUUUGACUAAACUUUCUGCUGCCAGCAUACAAUACAUAACAUAGGCAACUCUAAUUAAUUAAUGCUGGUUAUGGACUAAAGUUUUUGUUUGUCUGUUUUGGUUUAGAAACAAGGUCUCACUCUGUUACUCUGGCUAGAGUACAGUGGUGUGGUCAUAGUUCACUGCAUCCCGGAGUUCCUGGGUUCAAUGGAUUCUUCCACCUCGCCUCCCAAGUAACUAGGGUUACAGGUGCUCACCAUCAUGUCCAGCUAAUAUUCUUAAUUUUUAGAUGGUUUGUUUUGGUAAAGAUGAGGUGCUGCUGUAUUGCUCAGGCUGGCCUCUAACUCAGCUCCAGUGACCCUCCUACCAUGGCCUCCCAGACUGUUGAGAUUACAGGUGUGAACCACUGCACUCAGACCAUUUUUAUAAAAUAAAGUUUAGAGGGUAUAAUAGAUAUCCUACACAUUAAUACAUACCAACAACCAGGUUGUUGUAGAAAAUAAAUCAUAGGUAAAAUAAUAAGGCAAUUGUCUAAUAAAUCAUAUUUCAAUACAAUUAUAUACAAGUAUAAAUAUAGGAAGCAUAGAAAAAAACUAUUACUAACAAACCACGCUGUUUGGUCACAAUGAUAAAUUGGAAAUGUUCAUUAAUGUUGUCUUCUGUGUUAAGUAUCUGCUAAAUUUCAAUUAUUUGUGUGAUAGGUGAAGGAAUAUUAGAGUUUGGGGCAAAAUUACUAAAAUUCCCAGAUUUUGACAAUCCGAGAUUAUUAUUUUUCAAAUAUAUUAAGAACAGAAACAUGUCAAGAACAUUUUUCAAAAGGUCAGACUCUAGCCUUAGCUUUUCAGAAUAUAUUAAUUGUAAAACAUCACUAAUGGGUUCCCUGGUUGACUGAGCAACUGCUGGAUAUACUAUUGGACAGAUGUCUUAGUCCCUGAGAGUUAUAUCUGUAUCAUGUAAACUUAUAAUGAGUAAUGCCCAUUUUCUGAACUUCUAUACCCAUAGGUAAUUAAAUGUCUUCCUUGUUUAUAGUCUGUUUCCUAAUCUAAAAGGCAAACUAUCUGGCCAAACAUGCAAUACCACCUAAACUGUCUUCUACCUUAUUAUUCUAAUGACCCCCAUGGUUUUUUCACAAAACACUACUUCCUAUUUCUUUCAUUUACAUCUGCUCACCAUUCAGUUCCCUGAGUCAUAGUCAUUGUACAUGUUUCACCUUAGGAUGUAUAAAUUAGACCUUUUUAGAGUAUGGUAAUAUAAAGGCAUCAAAACAAAUGAAAGCUAAGAGGUAAAAAGUGUGUGUGUGCGAGUGUGUGUGUGUGUUUUGGUAUUUUGGAGAUGAUGUUGGGUUUCUUACAGUGAGUCUGGGGUUCUAAAAUGUAGGAGAAUGUAAGAAAUUGGGAGAAUGUAUAAAAAGCAUAAACUCACAGAAUUCUAUUUUUACUUUUGUACUUAUUAUUAUAUAUUUUAUACAGUACCUUUACAACAGCAAUCCCUUCAUAUGUCUAAUAAGAGUUUAUAUAUUUAAGCUCUGGCUUGCCCUUUCUCUUCACAAAAGAACUCUUCUUGAGAGAGAGGAAAAACGCCUUCUUCCAGUCAUCUUCUGACCUUCUAAAGACUUCCUCCUGGACUAAAAUAACUGAACAGGACUUCCAAGAUUUCUCUUACCUCCUUUCAACAGGCACAUCUAUGCACCUGCUUGUAAAAUUUAGUUUGAAGAAGAACACUGCCAGGUCACUUUAUCAAGAACUUCCCAACACUUGAUAUCUGAUCAUCCUCCAUAUCUGAUCAAGCUUCUCAUCCUUCAGUAUCCCUCAGAUGAUGUCUCAUUACCGUGGUUUAUCUUCAGUACAAAUCCUAUCAGGGUCUACUUUAGCAUGCAGUUAAGAAUCACAACUAUGAUGUCAAUAUGUGUUUCUGGACUUCAGAAGAACUUAAUACCACCUCAGUAUACCUUGCCUUGUAGGUUAUCAAUAAAUAUUUCAUAUCA